rnacentral:rRNA from 1 species
AUUGAACGCUGGCGGCAUGCCUUACACAUGCAAGUCGAACGGCAGCACGGGAGCUUGCUCCUGGUGGCGAGUGGCGAACGGGUGAGUAAUACAUCGGAACGUACCCUGAAGUGGGGGAUAACGUAGCGAAAGUUACGCUAAUACCGCAUAUUCUGUGAGCAGGAAAGAGGGGGAUCGCAAGACCUCUUGCUUUAGGAGCGGCCGAUGUCGGAUUAGCUAGUUGGUGAGGUAAAGGCUCACCAAGGCGACGAUCCGUAGCGGGUCUGAGAGGAUGAUCCGCCACACUGGAACUGAGACACGGUCCAGACUCCUACGGGAGGCAGCAGUGGGGAAUUUUGGACAAUGGGGGCAACCCUGAUCCAGCCAUGCCGCGUGAGUGAAGAAGGCCU